AUUGAACGCUGGCGGCAGGCCUAACACAUGCAAGUCGAGCGGAUGAAGGGAGCUUGCUCCUGGAUUCAGCGGCGGACGGGUGAGUAAUGCUUAGGAAUCUGCCUGGUAGUGGGGGAUAACGUCCGGAAACGGGCGCUAAUACCGCAUACGUCCUGAGGGAGAAAGUGGGGGAUCUUCGGACCUCACGCUAUCAGAUGAGCCUAGGUCGGAUUAGCUAGUUGGUGGGGUAAAGGCCUACCAAGGCGACGAUCCGUAACUGGUCUGAGAGGAUGAUCAGUCACACUGGAACUGAGACACGGUCCAGACUCCUACGGGAGGCAGCAGUGGGGAAUAUUGGACUAUGGGCGAAAGCCUGAUCCAGCCAUGCCGCGUGUGUGAAGAAGGUCUUCGGAUUGUAAAGCACUUUAAGUUGGGAGGAAGGGCAGUAAGUUAAUACCUUGCUGUUUUGACGUUACCAACAGAAUAAGCACCGGCUAACUUCGUG
rnacentral:rRNA from 1 species